GCUUUUUAUGGCUACACCUGCAGUAUGUGAAAGUUCCCAGGCUAGGGCUCGAAUCAGAGCUACAGGGGCCAGCCUACACCACAUAGAAUCUGAGCCAGGAUCUGAGCUGCAUCUGCAAUCUACAUCACAGCUCACAGCAACAAAAGAGCCUUAACCCACUGAGCAAGGCCAGAUUCUCAUGCAUACUAGUCAGAUUUGUUUCCACUGCACCACAACGGGCACUCCAAGAAGUUAACAUUUAAGCAAAGGACUGGAAGGAGAUGAGCAACUCUGAUAGACUUCUGAGAGAGACGCACUCAAAGAGAACAUCAGUCAAAACCUUGUGAUGAUGGGGCAUGCCUGUGACUCUAGAAAUAGCAAAAAUUGCUUUAAUGUCAUUCCAUUAAAGUACAUCAAAUAGGAUUCCCGUCGUGACUCAGAAGUUAACGAACCCAACUAGCAUCCAUGAGGAUGCAGGUUCAAUCCCUGGCCUCACUCAAUGCAUUAAGGACCCAGCAACACAUGAGCUGUGGUGUAGAUCGAAGAUGGGGCUCAGAUCCCAAGCUGCUGUGGCUGUGACCUAGGCCGGCAGCUACAGCUCCGAUUCAACCACUAGCCUGGGACCUUACAUAUGCCAAGAGUGCAGCCCUAAAAAAGACAAAAGACAAAAGACAAAAAAAAUAAAAGAAAGAAAAAAUGUAGACCUAGGCUAAGAAUAAACAGCAAUAAAACAAAAGAGGCAAAACAGAUCCAUAAAUGGGGAAACAAUUUAUUAUAAAGGAGGUCUUUCAAAUCAAUAAAUUUUGCUAGGAUCACUGGUUUCCAAUUGAGGGAAAGUAACAUUACAUCACUACUUCCUGCCUACACAAAACACAGAAAUAAACCGCAGAUUAAUUAAGGAUGAAAACAUAAAACCAGAAGUGCAAAAAUAACAAACACAAGAAAUUGGGUGAGGGACGACCUAAGAGCAUAAAGAUAAAGAAAUCAAAAGGUACAAUAAACAAAGUUAAAAGACAUAUAAAAGCAGUUUUAUAAAUCUAGAAAAAUAGUACAGAAAAAAGUGGACAAAGAACACACACGGUAUUGGUGAAACUUUAAAUUGGUACAGUCUAUCUGUAGAACAAUGUGGAAAUAUGUAUCAAAAUUUUAUUUUGGGGGCAUUAGGAUUUUUUAUUUUUUAAUUUUUUUUAAUUAUUUCCCCAAUACAAUUUUUUUUUCUACCAUACAGCAUGGUGACCCAGUUACACAUACAGUAUAGAUUCUUUUUUCUCACACUAUCAUGCUCCAUCAUAAGUGACUAGACAUAGUUCCCAGUGCUACACAGCAGGACCUCAUUGCUAUUCCAUUCCAAAGGCAAUAGUUUCCAUCUAUUAACUCCAAGCUCCCAAACCACCCCACUCCCUCCCCCUCCCCCUUGGCAACCACAAGUCUGUUCUCCAAGUUCAUGAUUUUCUUUUCUGUGGAAAGGUUCAUUUGUGCCAUAUAUUAGAUUCCAGAUAUAAGUGAUAUCAUAUGGUAUUAGUCUUUCUCUUUCUGAUUUACUUCAUAGUAUGAGAGUCUCUAGUUCUAUCCAUGUUGCUGCAAUGGCAUUAUUUUGUUCUUUUGUAUCAAAAUUUUAAAUGCAGGAGUUCCCGUUGUGACUCAGCAGUAACGAACCUGACAGUAUUCAUGAGGACAAGGGUUCGAUCCCUGGCCUGAGUGAAAAAAAAAGGUAUUUCAAAAUCACCCAUCCUGGAAGAACACAACUAGGAUCCAUGGGAUGCAGGCUGAAUCCCUUGCCUCAGUGGGUUAAGGAUCUCCCGUGAGCUGUGGUGUAAGUCACAGAUAGACAGUUCAGAUCCAAUGCUGCUCUGGUGUAGGCCAGCAGCUAUAGCUCUGACUAGACCCCAACUUGGAAAACUUCCAUAUGCUGAUGGAGCAGCCCUAAAAAGUAAAAAAAUAAAGAAGUGACUCCAGAAUACAAAAAUAUAACUACAAUACUAUUUACUACAACAUUGUUUAGAAUGUCAAAAGCUGAAGACAACCUAAAAGUCUAUCAGUCUGGGAUAAAUCAGUCAAAUUAUUGUAUGCCCAUAUACUACCGCCCUUAAAAAAGAUAAUAGAGGUAUUUAAUGAUCUGAAAGAAUGAUCACAAAGUAUUAAGGGGGAAACAAUUCCCAUGCAGUGUAUAUGUGCCUGAGCACAAGUAUGCAUGUAAUACAUUUAGAGAGAGAGAAUGAUCCUAUUGGUUUAAAACUACAAAGUACUGAUAUAACUACAAAGAAACAGACAUAUUUCUGUUUAUAUAUACAGAAAAACUCUAGAAGGAAAUGAACAAAAUUGUUAGAAGUAGUUAACUCUGAAAAACAGAUUGUUGACAUUUUUUAGAACAAUCAUGUACUAUCAAAAAAAUGUUUCCAUUUUAGACAGAAAGUAGAUUAGCCUAAGGCUGGUGGGGGGAAUGUAGGAAGAGAAUGACUGGUAAUAGGUACAGUUUCCUUUGGAGGUGAUGAAAACAUUCACUUGGUGGUGGUGGUUGCACAACUCUGUGAAUAUACUAAAAACCACUAAUUAGUACCUUUUAAAUGAGUGAAUUGUAUGGUAUAUGAAUUAUAUCUCAAUAAAGCUGUUUUCAAAAUUCCACUUCAGGAGUUCUCGUCGUGGCUCAGUGGUUAACGAAUCCAACUAGGAACCAUGAGGUUGUAGAUUCAAUCCCUGGCCUUGCUCAGUGGGUUAAGGACCCGGCAUUGCUGUGAGCUGUGGUGUAGGAUCCCGAAUUGCUGUGGUUCUGGCAUUGGCCAGUGGCUACAGCUCCGAUUAGACCCCUAGCCAGGGAACCUCCAUAUGCCGUGGGAGCAGGCCUAGCAAAGGCAAAAAGAUAAAAUAAAUAAAUAAAUAAAUAAAAUUCCACUUCACUUAUUUUUUUUAUGGCCACAGUCAUGGUCUAUGAAGUUGCCAGGCAAGGGAUCAAAUGCAAGCUGCAGUUGUGACCUAUGCCACAACUGCAGCAAUGCCAGAUCCUUAGUCCACUGCACCAGGCUGGAGAUGAAACCAAGGCUGCCAGAGAUAACACAAGAUCCUCAACCCACUGUGCCACAACAGGAAGUCCUAAAAAUUCCACGUAAGAACAAUAUCCAUAACCGUAAUACAGAAGAAAAAUUUUGCAAUUUAACCUUCACACUGUAUUUAUACUACGUCUCAAC
ensembl:lncRNA